GAUGAACGCUAGCUACAGGCUUAACACAUGCAAGUCGCGGGGCAGCAUGUAUCUGGCUUGCCAGAUACGAUGGCGACCGGCGCACGGGUGAGUAACGCGUAUCCAACCUGCCCAUAACCACGGCACAGCCCGUCGAAAGGCGGAUUAAUGCCGUAUGAGGUUCCAGAGUAGCAUUAUUAUGGAACGAAAGGAUUGGCGGUUAUGGAUGGGGAUGCGUCCGAUUAGCUAGUUGGCGGGGUAACGGCCCACCAAGGCGACGAUCGGUAGGGGUUCUGAGAGGAAGGUCCCCCACACUGGAACUGAGACACGGUCCAGACUCCUAACGGGAGGCAGCAGUGAGGAAUA
rnacentral:rRNA from 1 species